rnacentral:tRNA from 1 species
GUGGUUGUGACUCAGUGGCAGAGUGCUUGCCUAGCACGUGUGAGGCCCUGAGUUUGAUCCUCAGCACCAUA